rnacentral:SRP_RNA from 1 species
GCUGGGCGUGGUGGCGCACGCCUGUAGUCCCAGCUACUUGGGAGGCUGAGGCAGGGGAAUCACUUGAAUCCAGGAGGCAGAGACUGCAGUGAGCUGAGAUCAUGCCACUGCACUCCAGCCUGACAACAGAGUGAGACUCUGUCUCAA